rnacentral:piRNA from 1 species
ACAUACUCAGUAGAGCCAGUGGCGGA